UAAGUAAAUUGCCUUAUCGCUCAAGUGCUGAAUUUAUUUUAGCAUCUAAUCAAUGUAGUUUUUUGCUUUGUUGAAAAAGGUACUGAAACAAGUUCAGCACUCUGGGAGGAAAGUCCGAACACCGCAGUGCAACAUAGUGGUUAACGGCCACCAGUCGAGAGGUUAGGAAAAGUGCAACAGAAAGUAUGUACAGGUUAUGCUGUAGUGAAAUCAGGUAAACUCUAUGUGGUGCAAUGUCAUGUAUACCAACGUUUAAGGGUUGCACGCCCAAUGUUGGAGGGUAGACAGCUAAAGUGUAUUGGUAACAAUGCACUGAGAUAAAUGAUAAGGGUCACGCUUGGACGUGAUACAGAAUUCGGCUUAUAGAUUUACUUAAAUA
rnacentral:RNase_P_RNA from 1 species